AGUGAACGCUGGCGGUAGGCCUAACACAUGCAAGUCGAACGGCAGCACAGUAAGAGCUUGCUCUUACGGGUGGCGAGUGGCGGACGGGUGAGGAAUACAUCGGAAUCUACUUUUUCGUGGGGGAUAACGUAGGGAAACUUACGCUAAUACCGCAUACGACCUACGGGUGAAAGCAGGGGAUCUUCGGACCUUGCGCGAUUGAAUGAGCCGAUGUCGGAUUAGCUUGUUGGCGGGGUAAAGGCCCACCAAGGCGACGAUCCGUAGCUGGUCUGAGAGGAUGAUCAGCCACACUGGAACUGAGGCACGGUCCAGACUCCUACGGGGGGCAGCAGUGGGGAAUAUUGGACAAUGGGCGCAAGCCUGAUCCAGCCAUACCGCGUGGGUGAAGAAGGCCUUCGGGUUGUAAAGCCCUUUUGUUGGGAAAGAAAAGCAGCAGGUUAAUACCCCGCUGUUCUGACGGUACCCAAAGAAUAAGCACCGGCUAACUUCGUG
rnacentral:rRNA from 1 species